rnacentral:sRNA from 1 species
CUGGAUGUUGACUAGCUGUGAAUCUCCGUGUUAAUUACUGACUACCAGAAUAUGUUUCUGCGAUAAGGGUUCAAAGAUGUGCUAAUCUAUGCUAUUAGGAAUCAUUUUAAUACUAUGUCUUGUUAGCAGAACAGUGGUAGGUUCUCCCCUAGGGCCUAUGACCUUUGUAACUAUAGGAUCUUCACAUUUUUAUAAUUCGCCAUUUUUACAUCUGCUUUGCCAUAGGAAAAAAUAAUCAUGUUAGUACAUAUGAAAAAUGGCAACAGUGUGUGACGUUUCCUGUACACGUGUGUGUGUUGUGUGUGUGUGUGUGUGUGUGUGUGUGUGUGUGUGUGUAAAACUGUGGGCUUUCCCAUCCAUGCAUAAGUUUCCCCGAAAUGAUUCUGAGACUUAAGUAUAGUUGUGAAUAAAUGCCUAGGCCUUCAGCUUGGGCCAGUUCUCUCUCUAACUAGCUCAUAACUUAGUUAUCGGUUUAUUCUAUUCUAAGUCCUGCCACGUGCAUGGCAGGUUAAAUGAUCCUCAGUUUCACAUAACCUUUUUCCCCUGUGUCCCCGUGAAUCUCCCAGCAUUCCUCACUCCCGGAAGUCCCACCUUCUAAUCCUACCUCAGCUCUCCGGCCAACCAGCUUUGAUUAACAGGGGAAAGCUUUUACACAGUGCACAAGGGAUUAUCUCUACCUGCACAAUAACUGACUAGACAGGAGCUCUACUUCUCAACUAUCUCCCUGGCUCUUUCGGGCACUGCUUUAAUUUUCUUGCUGUUUCUCCUUUAGAAGAAGACUGACUCAGAUUAAGAACACCGGAUGAAGUGAUGAUGAUGAUGACGACGACGACGACGACGAUGAUGAUGUUAGAAGACAUAUUAAUUAAGAAUACAGAGCACUCUUCCAGAGGACUAAGAGAAAGACAAUUCUGAGCUACAAGCACGCGAUUCCAUGUCACCCAGUCAAUCACCACGGAAACCUUAUGAGGGCAGUGCUGUCAGCAUUAAGUAUUUCCCAGCUUCAUGAUGAUCCUGAGACUUGUCCUGCUGCUGCUGUAGCAUCCAGAGAAGCGGAGAGCCAAACUCCCACCAUGCUGCUGGGCCUGGCAGAGCAGGGGCUGGAUAUUUUUUACUUUCGACAAUUCCAAACACUUAUCACUCAGAUAAGUUUAAGUUAAAUUGCAACCUGUCAGAGGAUGGGACUCCUGGAGUGGACCACAGGGACUGCGAAGGAGCUGUGUGUGACUUUGUACAUUAGGGGUUCUAUCUGCAUUGUUGGGGGUGGAGUGUGUUUGUAUUGAAGGAAUUCUGUUCUCAGCACAUCAACGUCCUGACAGAAUGUACUCAGUAUUCAAAUAAAAUGCAUCGUAUUCUAAGUCACUUCUGUGUCUGUGUCUUU